rnacentral:rRNA from 1 species
AGAGUUUGAUCCUGGCUCAGGACGAACGCUGGCGGCGUGCCUAAGACAUGCAAGUCGUGCGCUCCCGAAACCCGAGGCUCUGUCCGAAGGUUUCGGGGGAGCGGCGGACGGGUGAGUAACGCGUGGGCAACCUGCCCGGGAGACCGGGAUAACACCCCGAAAGGGGUGCUAAUACCGGAUACGAUCCCCCCACCGCAUGGCGGGGGGAUGAAAGGCCGAAAGCCGCUCCCGGAUGGGCCCGCGUCCCAUUAGCCAGUUGGCGGGGUAACGGCCCACCAAAGCUACGAUGGGUAGCCGGCCUGAGAGGGUGGCCGGCCACACUGGGACUGAGAUACGGCCCAGACUCCUACGGGAGGCAGCAGUCGGGAAUCUUGCGCAAUGGGCGAAAGCCUGACGCAGCGACGCCGCGUGGGGGAUGAAGGCCUUCGGGUUGUAAACCCCUGUCUUCGGGGACGAAUUCUGACGGUACCCGAGGAGGAAGCCCCGGCUAACUACGUGCCAGCAGCCGCGGUAAUACGUAGGGGGCGAGCGUUGUCCGGAAUUACUGGGCGUAAAGGGCGUGUAGGCGGCCGCUUAGGUCAGAUGUGAAAAGCCGGGGCCCAACCCCGGACCCGCAUUUGAAACCGGGCGGCUUGAGGGUAGGAGAGGGAAGCGGAAUUCCCGGUGUAGCGGUGAAAUGCGUAAAUAUCGGGAGGAACACCAGUGGCGAAGGCGGCUUCCUGGACUACUCCUGACGCUGAGGCGCGAAAGCUAGGGGAGCAAACAGGAUUAGAUACCCUGGUAGUCCUAGCCGUAAACGAUGGGCACUAGGUGUGGGGGGUUAACCCCCUCCGUGCCGCAGCAAACGCACUAAGUGCCCCGCCUGGGGAGUACGGCCGCAAGGUUGAAACUCAAAGGAAUUGACGG